UUCCGAUUCUGUGACUUCAUCUGUGAUUUCAUCCUGGGAGUCGGUAGCAGCCCUCUUAGGUUUGCUCUCAUGACCUCACCCUUUCUCUCCUAACGAGAGGCCCACGGUGACUGCUGACACCUGGCAGGCUGAUAUCCAGGGCUCCUGUGUGGGCUUGUGGGUCUCCCUGGGACCAAAUCCUGUGUAAAGAGCAGCUCCAGGUUGGCUCCGUGUCAAGCAGGAGCUUGAGAACCCACAGGCCUGUGUUCUAGAAUCAUAUACAACCCCAGAUCCGCACAUACCAGCAGAUCAUUAAUGUCUCCCCACCACAAAUGCCAAACGCUAGAGCUGAGAACGCUGGAGGGACCCUGGGAUCUUUAGUGGGCCCAGCGUUGCUGCCGAGGAGGCCUGGGGACCCAUGGCCUCACCGACUUCUUAAUUCACUAGGUUGCUUUAGGGGAAUGGAGGCAGAAAUCCAGGCGAGUUUGCCACCUUUGUAACAACAAAACCCUAAUGUUCUUCUUUUCCUAAUCAUU
rnacentral:lncRNA from 1 species